CUGGCUCAGGAUGAACGCUAGCGGCAGGCCUAACACAUGCUAGUCGAGGGGUAUAUAAUGCUUGCAUUAUAGAGACCGGCGCACGGGUGAGUAACGCGUAUGGAAUCUGCCUUGUACAGGGGAAUAGCCCAGGGAAACUUGGAUUAAUGCCCCAUAGUAUUAUGAGACGGCAUUGUUUUAUAAUUAAAGAUUUAUCGGUACAAGAUGAUCAUGCGUCCCAUUAGCUUGUUGGUGUGGUAACGGCACACCAAGGCUACGAUGGGUAGGGGCCCUGAGAGGGGGAUCCCCCACACUGGUACUGAGACACGGACCAGACUCCUACGGGAGGCAGCAGUGAGGAAUAUUGGACAAUGGGCGAGAGCCUGAUCCAGCCAUGCCGCGUGCAGGAAGACUGCCCUAUGGGUUGUAAACUGCUUUUUUACGGGAAGAAACACCACUACGUGUAGUGGCUUGACGGUACCGUAAGAAUAAGGACCGGCUAACUCCGUGCCAGCAGCCGCGGUAAUACGGAGGGUCCGAGCGUUAUCCGGAAUCAUUGGGUUUAAAGGGUCCGUAGGCGGGCAAUUAAGUCAGUGGUGAAAGUCUGCAGCUCAACUGUAGAAUUGCCAUUGAUACUGGUUGUCUUGAAUCGUUGUGAAGUGGCUAGAAUAUGUGGUGUAGCGGUGAAAUGCUUAGAUAUCACAUAGAAUACCGAUUGCGAAGGCAGGUCACUAACAACGUAUUGACGCUGAUGGACGAAAGCGUGGGGAGCGAACAGGAUUAGAUACCCUGGUAGUCCACGUCGUAAACGAUGGAUACUAGCUGUCCGGCUCACAUUGGUGAGCUGGGUGGCCAAGCGAAAGUGAUAAGUAUCCCACCUGGGGAGUACGUUCGCAAGAAUGAAACUCAAAGGAAUUGACGGGGGCCCGCACAAGCGGUGGAGCAUGUGGUUUAAUUCGAUGAUACGCGAGGAACCUUACCAGGGCUUAAAUGUAGUCUGACAGGAUUGGAAACAGUCUUUUCUUCGGACAGAUUACAAGGUGCUGCAUGGUUGUCGUCAGCUCGUGCCGUGAGGUGUCAGGUUAAGUCCUAUAACGAGCGCAACCCCUGUUGUUAGUUGCCAGCGAGUCAAGUCGGGAACUCUAACAAGACUGCCGGUGCAAACCGUGAGGAAGGUGGGGAUGACGUCAAAUCAUCACGGCCCUUACGUCCUGGGCCACACACGUGCUACAAUGGCAGGUACAAUGGGCAGCCACUACGCAAGUAGGAGCGAAUCCACAAAACCUGUCUCAGUUCGGAUCGGGGUCUGCAACUCGACCCCGUGAAGUCGGAAUCGCUAGUAAUCGUGGAUCAGAAUGCCACGGUGAAUACGUUCCCGGGCCUUGUACACACCGCCCGUCACACCAUGGGAGUGGGCUGCAAAAGAAGUGGGUAGUUUAACCUUCGGGAGGACGCUCACCACUUUGUGGUUCAUGACUGGGGUGAAGUCGUA
rnacentral:rRNA from 1 species